GACGAACGCUGGCGGCGCGCUUAACACAUGCAAGUCGAACGGAAAGGCCUGCUUUCCCUUGUGGAUUGCGGGUACUCGAGUGGCGAACGGGUGAGUAACACGUGAGUGAUCUGCCCCCAACUUGGGUAUAAGCCUGGGAAACUGGGUCUAAUUCCCGAUAGGACUGCAGGGUGGUGCCUGUGGUGGAAAACGAUUUUCUAGUGGUUGGGGAUGAGCUCGCGGCCUAUCAGCUUGUUGGUGGGGUAAUGGCCUACCAAGGCGGCGACGGGUAGCCGGCCUGGGAGGGUGGACGGCGACAUUGGGACUGAGAUACGGCCCAGACUCCUACGGGAGGCAGCAGUGGGGAAUAUUGCACAAUGGGCGGAAGCCUGAUGCAGCGACGCCGCGUGGGGGAUGACGGCCUUCGGGUUGUAAACUCCUUUCGACCGCGAGGAAGCCACCUGGUUGGAAGGGUGGUGACGGUAGUGGUAUAAGAAGCACCGGCUAACUACGUG
rnacentral:rRNA from 1 species